AGAGUUUGAUCAUGGCUCAGAGCGAACGCUGGCGGCAGGCCUAACACAUGCAAGUCGAGCGCCCCGCAAGGGGAGCGGCAGACGGGAGAGUAACACGUGGGAACGUACCCUUUGGUUCGGAACAACCCAGGGAAACUUGGGCUAAUACCGAAUAAGCCCUUACGGGGAAAGAUUUAUCGCCGAAGGAUCGGCCCGCGUCUGAUUAGCUAGUUGGUGAGGUAACGGCUCACCAAGGCGACGAUCAGUAGCUGGUCUGAGAGGAUGAUCAGCCUCACUGGGACUGAGACACGGCCCAGACUCCUACGGGAGGCAGCAGUGGGGAAUAUUGGACAAUGGGCGCAAGCCUGAUCCAGCCAUGCCGCGUGGGUGAUGAAGGCCCUAGGGUUGUAAAGCCCUUUCGGCGGGGAAGAUAAUGACGGUACCCGCAGACGAAGCCCCGGCUAACUUCGUGCCAGCAGCGGCGGUAAUUC
rnacentral:rRNA from 1 species